AUGGGCUUGGCCCGUUCAAGAGAAUAUAGAGGAGGCCUGGCGCUGGGCCUCCUGGGCUGGCUGGAUCGAAACGAGGAGGUGGAAGGGGCGCAGUCAACGCGAAGCAGGACUUGUCGCUGGGUCUUCCUCAUCGCGCAAAGUCGAAGCAGAGGAUGCAGCAGCGCAGCUGCAGCUUGGCGUAUGACUGGGAGCAGGGAAGAUAGGGGCAGCGCGAUGCAGAGGACGCAGGGGAGGCAGUGGCUGGUCGAGGGGCUUGGGGAAGAGCAACAAUGGUGGUGCAGGGCGCGGUCAAGGCAAGCAGUGCUCGCGUCCUGA
rnacentral:rRNA from 1 species